UUGUUGUUGUUGUUGCUGUUGUUGUUCUUAUAAUUUAUACAAAUAAUACUACAAACAAAAACUAACGAAGGCCAUUUUUAAUAUCUUGCAACAAUCCAUUUCAAUUCCAAGAUAAAUUAAAUACAAUAAUUAAAAUUCAGUUCAUUCUAAUUUCAAUUUCUACUCAACCAAACAACUAAUUCUAAUUCCAAUUCAUAUUUACACCUCCUUUAUUAAUUUGUAAGGUAAUAUUCUCUAUACUAACGUGGGGAUUCUGAGAAAUGUAAUGGGUGUAUCUAGACUAAAUCAUCUUCUGCAGCAAUGUUCAAUAGUAAUGCCUAAGUUUGCAGCACAUUAUAGCCCAAUAUCCUGAAUCCGGCCCAUUAACAACAUUAUUUAAGACAUCAGGUUCUUUAAAGUUAUGCAUAUUCUUAAACAGAGACAGAGUGUACUCAUUUACAUCAAAUAGAUCCCUCUCUCUCAACUAUCUACUCUUUAUAGUAUAUACCACACAACGUAUUGUGAUCAUGCAUAUGAUAUUGAAUUUUUUUCAAAUACUCGAGUGUGCGUAUGUCUUUGGAAGAGGUUCUGCUUUGCCUAGCACUCUUUUCUUUUUUUUCUUUUAAUCAAAAUUCUCUAAUUCAUAAAAAAAAAAAAGAUCUUUGCAAAAGGAAUUACUGAAACCCUAACCCUGCCUUACCUACCCUCCUCUGUGACCAUCUCUCUCUAGGGUUUCUACAUAGUUCCAUUGAAUAGAUCGACGAAAAUGUCACUCCCUCAAAUACAAUGUAAAUAUAUGACUAAGCUGGCAAAACAGGUUAUGCAAAGCUAGAACUUAAAGAAAUCUUAAUUAAUUUGAAAUUUAUAAUAUUUAGGAAUACUUUAAGUAAUUUGUAUUCUAAUUUAAUUCGAUUACUUAUUUAGAGUUUUAUUAUUUUAGAAAUUGCUUAAUUGAGUUGUAUUCCUAAUUUAUGUAUGAGUCUUAUUAAAUAAGCGUCUAUUGUAACUUUUAGAAGCAUGCCUUUGUUAUUGAUUAUUUCUUGGAAUAAACUCUAAAUUUGAGUUCAUUAAUAUUUUCAGUUUUCAAAGCUCUAUGUGAGUUUUUGAGUUUAGUUAAUUCUCGACAUUUUGCAAAAUCAACGAGUCUCAACUUCCUAAGUUCAUGGUAUUAUUUCAAGUCAACGUGAAUUUAGUUCGUACUUUUAUUAUGCUAUUCUUUAGAAUUAAUAGAAUAAUAUAAUAUUAAAUUUUUGCUGCAUUAACGGGUCACCAAGUCGUGUUUGUGUCAUUUCAAAUUUAAAUCAACCCAAACACAAUCCAUUUAAUGAUCGUGUUAUUGAGACUCUAACCUAACACAGAAAGUAAACAAGUUAGCCAAUAACCCAUUUAAUAUCCAUAUAUUUAAUAGAAUUUAAACCUAACAUUUGUGUAUUGAUAAAAUCAUUUUUGGGUGCAGGCGCGCUCAUUUUUUUUAUUCAGACAUGCUAUUAAAUUGUGUUGUUUAAUAGCGUGUUUACAUAAGAAAAAAAAAUUGAGGGCACCUGACACAACUCAAAAGUGUUGAUUAGUACUAAGUAUAAGAGUGUUUAUUUAUAAUAUUACUCGAUGAGUCUAGGGUUGAACCACAAGAAAUCUAAAAAUCUAGUAGUCAAUUAUUAAAUAAAAUUAAUUUGUAAAAAAAAUAAUUCAUUCAAAAAAUGCUAAAGUUACGAGAUCCACACUUGGUAUUUUAA
rnacentral:lncRNA from 1 species